rnacentral:tRNA from 1 species
GCGACAUUAGCUCAGUUGCUAGAGCGAUACCUUGCCAAGGUAUAGGUCAUCGGUUCGAACCCGAUAUGUCGCUCCA